rnacentral:rRNA from 1 species
GCAAGUCGAGCGCGCCCUUCGAGCCGAGCGGCGAACGGCUGAGUAACACGUUGGUACGUGCCCUCUACUCAGGGAUAACUCCGUGAAAGCGGAGCUAAUACCGGAUGGUCCCGUAAGGGUAAAGAUUUUUCGGUAGAGGAGCGGCCUGCGGCCUAUCAGCUUGUUGGUGAGGUAAUAGCUCACCAAGGCUAUGACGGGUAUCUGGUGUGAGAGCAUGACC